GACGAACGCUGGCGGCGUGCUUAACACAUGCAAGUCGAACGGAAAGGCCCUGCUUUUGUGGGGUGCUCGAGUGGCGAACGGGUGAGUAACACGUGAGUAACCUGCCCUUGACUUUGGGAUAACUUCAGGAAACUGGGGCUAAUACCGGAUAGCAUCUCCUGCUGCAUGGUGGGGGUUGGAAAGUUUCGGCGGUUGGGGAUGGACUCGCGGCUUAUCAGCUUGUUGGUGGGGUAGUGGCUUACCAAGGCUUUGACGGGUAGCCGGCCUGAGUGGGUGACCGGCCACAUUGGGACUGCGAUACGGACCAGACUCCUACGGGAGGCAGCAGUGGGGAAUAUUGCACAAUGGGCGGAAGCCUGAUGCAGCAACGCCGCGUGCGGGAUGACGGCCUUCGGGUUGUAAACCGCUUUCGCUUGUGACGAAGCGUGAGUGACGGUAAUGGGUAAAGAAGCACCGGCUAGCUACGUG
rnacentral:rRNA from 1 species